rnacentral:rRNA from 1 species
GACGAACGCUGGCGGCGUGCUUAACACAUGCAAGUCGAACGGAAAGGCCCUGCUUUUGUGGGGUGCUCGAGUGGCGAACGGGUGAGUAACACGUGAGUAACCUGCCCUUGACUUUGGGAUAACUUCAGGAAACUGGGGCUAAUACCGGAUAGGAGCUGCUGCUGCAUGGUGGGGGUUGGAAAGUUUCGGCGGUUGGGGAUGGACUCGCGGCUUAUCAGCUUGUUGGGUGGGUAGUGGCUUACCAAGGCUUUGGUGGGUAGCCCGCCUGAGAGGGUGAACGGCCACAUUGGGCCUGAGAUACGGCCCAGACUCCUACGGGAGGCAGCAGUGGGGAAUAUUGCACAAUGGGCGGAAGCGUGAUGCAGCAACGCCGCGUGCGGGAUGACGGCCUUGGGGUUGUAAACCGCUUUAGCCUGUGACGAAGCGUGAGUGACGGUAAUGGGUAAAGAAGCACCGGCUAACUACGUG